rnacentral:tRNA from 1 species
GCCGUCAUAGUCCAGUGGCAAGACAACUGCGUGCCAUGCAGCAGACUCGAGUUCGAAUCUCGGUGACUGCU